rnacentral:rRNA from 1 species
AUUGAACGCUGGCGGCAUGCCUUACACAUGCAAGUCGAACGGCAGCACGGGAGCAAUCCUGGUGGCGAGUGGCGAACGGGUGAGUAAUAUAUCGGAACGUGCCCGGUCGUGGGGGAUAACGUAGCGAAAGCUACGCUAAUACCGCAUACGAUCUACGGAUGAAAGCGGGGGGAUCGCAAGACCUCGCGCGAUUGGAGCGGCCGAUAUCAGAUUAGGUAGUUGGUGAGGUAAAGGCUCACCAAGCCGACGAUCUGUAGCUGGUCUGAGAGGACGACCAGCCACACUGGGACUGAGACACGGCCCAGACUCCUACGGGAGGCAGCAGUGGGGAAUUUUGGACAAUGGGCGCAAGCCUGAUCCAGCAAUGCCGCGUGCAGGAUGAAGGCCUU